CCCUUAGAUGUUCUGGGCCGCACGCGUGCUACACUGACCGGCGCAACAAGUUUCUUUCCUUGGCUCGAUAGGCCUGGGUAAUCUUUGAACGCUGUUCGUGAUUGGGAUAGACCUUUGCAAUUAUGGGUCUUCAACGAGGAAUUCCUAGUAAACGCAAGUCAUCAGCUUGCAUUGAUUACGUCCCUGCCCUUUGUACACACCGCCCGUCGCACCUACCGAUUGAAUGGUCCGGUGAAAUCUCGGGACGGCGGCUCGGUCGCUUGCGUCCGACUGCUGAAACUUGAUUAAACCAUAUCAUUUAGAGGAAGGUGAAGUCGUAACA
rnacentral:rRNA from 1 species